AGUGAACGCUGGCGGUAGACCUAACACAUGCAAGUCGAACGGCAGCACAAUAAGAGCUUGCUCUUACGGGUGGCGAGUGGCGGACGGGUGAGGAAUACAUCGGAAUCUACUUUUUCGUGGGGGAUAACGUAGGGAAACUUACGCUAAUACCGCAUACGACCUACGGGUGAAAGCAGGGGAUCUUCGGACCUUGCGCGAUUGAAUGAGCCGAUGUCGGAUUAGCUAGUUGGCGGGGUAAAGGCCCACCAAGGCGACGAUCCGUAGCUGGUCUGAGAGGAUGAUCAGCCACACUGGAACUGAGACACGGUCCAGACUCCUACGGGAGGCAGCAGUGGGGAAUAUUGGACAAUGGGCGCAAGCCUGAUCCAGCCAUACCGCGUGGGUGAAGAAGGCCUUCGGGUUGUAAAGCCCUUUUGUUGGGAAAGAAAAGCAGCAGGUUAAUACCCCGCUGUUCUGACGGUACCCAAAGAAUAAGCACCGGCUAACUUCGUG
rnacentral:rRNA from 1 species